rnacentral:ribozyme from 1 species
UAUCACAACCAAUUCUGCGGCACCCCAUACUACGUCGCCCCUGAGAUGCUUCGGCCACACGGUUACAACCAAAGCUGCGACCUUUGGAGCAUGGGGGUGAUAAUGUUCCU